rnacentral:rRNA from 1 species
UACGUAGGUGGCAAGCGUUGUCCGGAUUUACUGGGUGUAAAGGGCGUGCAGCCGGGAAGACAAGUCAGAUGUGAAAUCCCGCGGCUCAACCGCGGAACUGCAUUUGAAACUGUUUUUCUUGAGUACCGGAGAGGUCAUCGGAAUUCCUUGUGUAGCGGUGAAAUGCGUAGAUAUAAGGAAGAACACCAGUGGCGAAGGCGGAUGACUGGACGGCAACUGACGGAGAGGCGCGAAAGCGUGGGGAGCAAACAGG